rnacentral:misc_RNA from 1 species
GUUAAUAUGAUCAGAAGCUAUUUUCUCUCUUUUUAACUUGGCGAAGUACAUGUAUGAUGUAAAACUUAGGGGUCAAAAAAGGAAGACACAGAGAAAGGAUCUGAUUAAUUAUAUCAGAUACCCAUUUAAGAAACUGCACAAUAUGAUAUUAUAUGAUGCAUGUCCAGAAAAAAGGGGAAAAUUAUCUCCUGUUUUAUACGCUAAGGCUGAGAGAUUGUUUGGAGGGUUAAGCAGUGGAACCAAAUGCGCAUCACCAUAUGAUUCUCUUGCAAAGCUUGUAGCCUGAUAAAAGAGUGCAAGUUGCAAUAACUAGGAAAUCUGCAAAUGAAAUCACCUUCCACAGCGACGCAGUUUUGCUCUUCUGCUGAGAGGCCAAUAUUGCUACUGAACAAGCAGAGAUUAAAAGAUAUCCCAGCAACUGAUCAAGUAUAAAGCUCAGGUAAUCAGAGACCAUGUCAGAGAUGAGAAUGCCCCUGUGUGCUAUAUCAUAAAUACCUUUGAAGAGUUGGAAGGCAGAGUAGACAAAAACUAAAAUAUAUACAAUGAAACAGUACCCCAACUCUGAGUAUCCAGUGAACAGUUGACCAUUCUUCUUUGAUGAUGAAGCAGCCAGUGACAGUGCAGAGACAAAGGAGAAUACGAGGGUCAGGAAUCGAAGAAGUAGAUUGGAAUAAUGGAUGGAAGGUCUAGAGCUCCACCAUGUAGAGGCAUCAGAGAGAGAGAAAGGCGAAGGCGUUGGAAAGGGUCUUUGAGCUAUAUGAUACGGGGAACCCCCCAGCCACUGGUCUACAAGCAACAACUAGCACCUCCCCUUCUUGUUUCAUUGUUUUGUUCAACUCUCCUUUCUUCAAAAAUGAACUUG